rnacentral:tRNA from 1 species
GUUUCUGAAGUAGAAUUAUGUAGUAUUUUCGAUACUAAGAUGCUGUUGCUUGAAAUA